rnacentral:rRNA from 1 species
CAAAGGAUUUGGCGGUGUUUUAGUCUAUUUAGAGGAAUUUGCUCUGUAAUCGAUAGUCCUCGUUUUAUCUUACUUUUAUUAGUUAAUCAGUAUGUAUAUCGCCGUUAUAAGUUUAUUUUUUCAGGAUAAUUUACUUAAUAAUUUUUAUUUAUAUUUCAGGUCAAGGUGCAGCUUAUAUAAAAGAAGAAGUGAAUUACAAUAUUGUUUUAAUAUACGGAUUAGGAUUUGAAAUAUUUCUAUAAAGGUGGAUUUAAUAGUAAAUUUGUUUACAAAAUCAUUUUGAUUUUAGCUCUAAAAUAAGUACACAUCGCCCGUCGCUCU